GACGAACCGUGCAAACGUUGUUCGGAAUCACUGGGCUUAAAGGGCGCGUAGGCGGGCUCUCAAGUCUGUGGUGAAAUCCUCCAGCUCAACUGGAGAACUGCCGCGGAUACUGGGGGUCUCGAGGGAGGUAGGGGCGCGCGGAACACUAGGUGGAGCGGUGAAAUGCGUUGAUAUCUAGUGGAACUCCGGUGGCGAAGGCGGCGCGCUGGACCUCUUCUGACGCUGAGGCGCGAAAGCCAGGGGAGCGAACGGG
rnacentral:rRNA from 1 species